UCUUUUAAUUGAAGGCUUGUAUGAAUGGUUGGACGAGAUAUUGACUGUUUCAUUUUAAUUUUUUUUAGAAUUUAAUUUUUUAGUUAAAAAGCUAAAAUUUAUUUAAAAGACGAGAAGACCCUAUAAAUCUUUAUAUUGGAGUUAUUAUUAUUAUUUUGAUUUAUUUUAUAAUAAUAAUUAAUAAUAUUUUAUUGGGGUGAUAUUAAAAUUUAUAAAACUUUUAAUUUUAUUUACAUUAAUUUAUGAAUAAAUGAUCCAUUUUUAGUGAUUAAAAAUAUAAGUUACUUUAGGGAUAACAGCGUAAUUUUUUUGGAGAGUUCUUAUCGAUAAAAAAGAUUGC
rnacentral:rRNA from 1 species